CUGGUGGGUGCAGCAAAGGCAGAACAAUUUUGCAAGGCUUUUCGAAGCAUUCACAAGAAACUUGUGUAUGAAGAAAUGAGUUUAGAUGCUGCCAGGAGUUUUGUGAGCUCACCUAAAAGUUAUGGAGAAUAGUUUCUUGCCUCCUGAAUUUUCUUGUUAUUCUGUUUCUGGUGGAUGUUUUACUUGGAGAGAGAGAGAGAGAGAGAGAGAGAGAUUGUAGUUCAAAUUGAAGCAGUUCAUGUUGCAAAUUUGAUUUUGAUUUAUGUUAUUUAAAUUUGUGAACAACAUUAUGUAUGUAUUAUGCGACAUUAUGCAGUGGUAUAAUUUUUAUUGUUAUGAAUUUUUAUUUAUGUAUU